rfam:Gossypium raimondii Chr03_contig_797, whole genome shotgun sequence.
UAUUAAAAAUUUUAUUCAUUAGUACAAUUAAAAAUUUGCAUAGUUGAUGGAAUGAUAGUUCAAGUGUAACUCACGUUGAUGUAUAGAGAUCAAUUUUUAACAGUAAAAAUAAAUGAAAUUUUUAAUA